AGUGAACGCUGGCGGUAGGCCUAACACAUGCAAGUCGAACGGCAGCACAGUAAGAGCUUGCUCUUACGGGUGGCGAGUGGCGGACGGGUGAGGAAUACAUCGGAAUCUACUUUUUCGUGGGGGAUAACGUAGGGAAACUUACGCUAAUACCGCAUACGACCUACGGGUGAAAGCAGGGGAUCUUCGGACCUUGCGCGAUUGAAUGGGCCGAUGUCGGAUUAGCUAGUUGGCGGGGUAAAGGCCCACCAAGGCGACGAUCCGUAGCUGGUCUGAGAGGAUGAUCAGCCACACUGGAACUGAGACACGGUCCAGACUCCUACGGGAGGCAGCAGUGGGGAAUAUUGGACAAUGGGCGCAAGCCUGAUCCAGCCAUACCGCGUGGGUGAAGAAGGCCUUCGGGUUGUAAAGCCCUUUUGUUGGGAAAGAAAAGCAGCAAGUUAAUACCCCGCUGUUCUGACGGUACCCAAAGAAUAAGCACCGGCUAACUUCGUG
rnacentral:rRNA from 1 species